UGAGGGGGAGGACAAGGGGUACCCUUCUCCCUUCUCCCACCCCUCUUCUCCUUUCUCCUACCCCUCUUCUCCUUUUUUUAUUUUUUUUUUAAUUUACCGGAAAAAAGAGAGAUAUUUUAUUUUUUCAUAUUUUAUUUAUUUCUCCAACUUUUUCUCCUUUCUCCCAGCCUUCCUCUCCUUUCUCCUACCCCCUUUCUCCCUGUCUCCCUUACCCCUGUCCUCC
rnacentral:lncRNA from 1 species